CUCUUUUCUCUCUUGGUUUUCCUCCUAUCUCUCCCAACGCUCAUUCAGUGUCUCCUUUUCCAAGGAUACCUCCUCCCCUCGUCCUGUCUCGGUUGGAGUUCCCCAAGGGUCUGUCCUUGGUCCCCUUCUAUUUUCUCUUUAUUCUGCCUCUCUAGGUAAACUUAUUGCCUCUUUUGGAUUCCACUACCACCUGUUCGCUGAUGACACUUAGAUAUACCUCUCCUCCCC